CCUACGGGGGGCAGCAGUGGGGAAUAUUGGGCAAUGGGCGCAAGCCUGACCCAGCAACGCCGCGUGAAGGAAGAAGGCUUUCGGGUUGUAAACUUCUUUUGUCAGGGACGAAGCAAGUGACGGUACCUGAUGAAUAAGCUACGGCUAACUACGUGCCAGCCGCCGCGGUAAUACGUAGGAGGCAAGCGUUAUCCGGAUUUAUUGGGUGUAAGGGGCGUGCAGGCGGGAAUGCAAGUCAGAUGUGAAAACUAUGGGCUCAACCCAUAGCCUGCAUUUGAAACUGUAUGUCUUGAGUGCGGGAGAGGGAAGCGGAAUUCCGGGUGUAGCAGUGAAAUGCGUAGAUAUGCGGAGGAACACCAGUGGCGAAGGCAGAUUGCUGGACAGUAACUGACGCUGAGGCGCGAAAGCGUGGGGAGCAAACAGGAUUAGAUACCCGAGUAGUC
rnacentral:rRNA from 1 species